AUAUAUUUCAAUUAUAGUUCAAUUUUCGCGCGGCUAAAGAUAGAACCACUGCAGCCAAUUAGAAAGCCGUUGAGACUUAGCGGCGCGACGAAUCAGUGUACAUCAUAAUGCGCAUGGCAUCAAUCUACAAUUGAAAAUCGUGAUAACAGUUGUGUUUCAUCGGCAGAGAUGUAUAAUAACAUAAAAUUUUUAUUGAUAGCAUAUUUAUUAAAAUUUGUAUACUCAAUGCUUGUUUAAUCAUUAUUAUAUAGAAUAUCAGAAAUUAAAUAUGAUAAAUUAUCAUUUGGAGCUUUGAAGGUGUAAUAUUUUUUUAUACAUGUUUGCAUAUAUGUCAACUAAGAAAUAAUCCUACAAUUUUUAUUCAAAUGUGAUAUUUUUCAAUUUCCGCGACUUCCCAUGACCAUGAGAAUAUUAAUGACAAUGCAGUUUCUUCGCAACUAGUU